rnacentral:rRNA from 1 species
CAAACUGAUGAGAGUGGCGCACGGGUGCGUAACGUGAGCAACCUACCCCAUAUCAGGGGGAUAGCCUCUCGAAAGAGAGAUUAACACCCGCAACAUCAUUUACCGGCAUCGGUUUUUGAUCAAAUAUUUAUAGGAUAUGGAUGGGCUCGCGACAUUAGCUAGUUGGAGAGGUAACGGCUCACCAAGGCUACGAUGUCUAGGGGCUCUGAGGAGAAUCCCCCACACUGGUACUGAGACACGGACCAGACUCCUACGGGAGGCAGCAGAGGAAUAUUGGUCAAUGGAGGCAACUCUGAACCAGCCAUGCCGCGUGCAGGAUGACUGCUAUGGGUUGUAAACUGCUUUUGUCAGGGAAUAAACCUUUCUACGUGUAGAAAGCUGAGUACCUGAAGAAUAAGGAUCGGCUAACUCCGUGCCAGCAGCCGCGGUAAUACGGAGGACAAGCGUUAUCCGGAUUUAUUGGGUUUAAAGGGUGCGUAGGCGGUCCUAUAAGUCAGUUGAAAGACGGCAGCUUAACUGUCGCAGUGCCUUUGAUACUGUAGGACUUGAAUCUAUUAAGUGGGCGGAAUAAGACAAGUAGCGGUGAAAUGCAUAGAUAUGUCUUAGAACUCCGAGCGAAGGCAGCUCACUAAGUUAGUAUUGACGCUGAUGCACGAAAGCGUGGGGAUCAAA